GUACUGUGUGUACCUGGGUCACUCUCAUACUCUGACGGGGUGAUAUUUCAGAACGGCGGACCGCACACGGCGCCGGAUCCGGGCGGGUUUCUGGAUCUCUAUGAAAUGGCAAAGUGUUUGUUGAGAGUUCACAGUGUGAGUGCGAGUUGUGAUCUGACUGGCUGAUAUACUGACGGACAUGCCGCUCAGUUCGUGACUCUCUUUCCUGCGGUCCUUGACUCAACGCCCCCCCCCCUCCUCCAGCCAGACUCACACAAAAACCUCUCAGUGUGUUAGUGCCAACAAGGAUAAGGUUGAAGAGCUAAAUGCUGAAGAGGGCCAUGACUCCGCCGGCCUCUCCCCGCCGAUCCCAGUAGAGGACACCGCGGAAAGCAGCCAUGGGGGACGGAGCCCCGGCAAACCCCCAGAAUCCCUCUCCCUUCCAGGGCCUGUACUUUCCUCCGGCUGUGGGCCAGCGCUUCUGCGAUGACGGCCUGAACGAGCUCGGGCAGUUUGGGGUUAGCUGCAGCAGCGACGCUAGCGUUAGCCACCGUGGCGUUAGCUGCAGCAGCGACUCUAGCGUUAGCCACCGUAGCGGUAGCUGCAGCAGCGACGCUAGCGUUAGCCACCGUAGCGGUAGCUGCAGCAGUGGCGCUAGCGUUAGCCACCGUGGCGUUAGCUGCAGCGGCGGCGCUAGCGCUAGCCAUCGUAGCGUUAGCUGCAGCGGCGGCGC